AUUUUUCCACGAUGUUCAUUCUCAACCGCAACAUUGAGAUAGACCCACGGAGAUAAUCGGUGAUCUUCAGCCUUCAGGCUAUUGACGACGACGAUGGAGGGGAUAGUUUUAUAACCAUCGAUGCUUUCUUAAACGUUUACGAUGGGCAUACUUUAAAAACAGCAGAGGAGUUGCAAGCUGCCAAGUGCCAAGAGAAAAGUGGAAGACCUUGAAAGUGCAAAUGAUUAAUUGAAUGAUGCAAAGAUACUCGAUGGCUCAAAAUUUGCAGAAUGCAGUCACUCAGAUUGGCCAGCUUAAAUCUGAAACUAAAGGAUUGAAUGUACAUAUUGCAGAUUGGGAAGUUGGAGGAGGUGUGAGGUAUGAAUUUAUGAAUGCAUCUUUGAUGGCAAAUGAUUUGUCAGAGAGCAGCCACUAAUGCUGAGGAACUUCAGUCCCAAAAUUAAAUCUUGUAGGCCGCUGUCACUUACUAGCCCAUUCUAAUACAAAUACACGAAUUGUUGUGUAAUAGUUGCAUUCAAGAUAUAAUUUUUGGGAUUGAUGUUCCUCAGUAUUAAUGGCUGCUCUCUGCAAAUCUUUUGCCAUCAUUUCUCUUGAUAGCAUUCUUGUGGAUUCAUCAUGCUCUCUCUGUGAAAGGUUUCUUCGAGCUUUCGCUAGCUUAGUGCUCUAGUCUGUCCUUCAUCUUGAAGGCCUUCUAUGCUACUGGGCUUAAGUUUUACUUUUAUCUAUUGGAUCUUGGUCUACUCUAUUGGGCUUCAACUUAUGUAUUCUUAGAGCCAAUAGAUCAUGUGUAAUUAAUUCAAAUUAUAUUUGUUUAUUCUUAUACUGUCUACAUCAUGUAACAAAAAAAAUAAAAAAUACCAUUGCAAGUGCUCAAAAUAUAUUGAGAUAUGUAUUUUGUUGGGAUCAACAAAAUGUAUUGGGAUAUGUGUUUUGUUGAUGUGAUCGGUUUAACAAAAUAUAUUAGUACAAUGGUAUAAAUUUGUUGGUU